AAUGCUAAAUUUUUGUUUUUUUUUUGUUCGAUUCAAUGCCAAUAUGUGGUUUUAUUUAUUUGUCUUUUUUAAAAAUAUUUUAACUCCAAUGGAAUUGCACUAGUUAUAUAAAAAUCGCAAUUUCAAUAAUAUAAAAUUAUAUUUUUAUUGACGGGAAUAUAAAAUAACAUUAAACUCAUAUGAUUAGAGAUAGGUUAAUGUUUUUUUUUAUCUAAUUUUAUUUUCCAAGUCUUUCCUCUAUUUAAGAAAUGACCAUUAAAAAAAAUAAAGAAAAUUAAAAAAAAAAAACCCAAGUCUCCUGUCCCAGAAAAAAAAACCCCAAGUUUCCUGCUUGUGAAUUCGUGAUUAUAUUUUACGGAGUACAAAAUAAUAAGCAAUCCUCAAAUUCCCUCAUUUCACCACGUACAACCGCUCACUCCACCGCACCGCCCACUCCACCACGCUGUCUACUCCACUGAUGUCCCUUGUAACAAGGCCAACUCCACGUUACCUCAUUUCAAAGCAAUGAAGAAUUAAAGUGAAAUUUGAUACUCUGAGUUUAAAUAGGGAAAUUAAGGUCUAUAUCAGGAUGAACUUGGGGGAAAUUGGGAAAAAGAGGUUCAUAGCUUUGCCAGGCUGGCACAUCAAGCAAUCGACAACGCACGGCGCCACACGACCUGGCGACCCUGUCUCAUUUUUUUAGUUUCACGCCUUUCACGGAUCAAAACUUGAUUCAAGUAGCAACGGGCCGGGACUGCCAUCAAAUUAUUAUUAUCCAAUCCUUCAGAGCACCUUGGUGUUAAAAUGGUGUUAAUCCCAAUUUCUUUCCUAUCAAUCAGGAUGUCGGUGAAGAGUUAGAAGGGAUCAAUGAUUAUUUACGACAUUAGUCAAGAGUUAGAAGGGAUCCCCUAUUUAUGCUAGAUUGAUUUGACGCUCCGAAUAGCAACAACAAAUUGAUGCGUUCUUGCCUUACCGAUUUCAACUUAGCAGAUAAUUUUUGUUUUAAAGUAGAACAAAAUUAUACUUUGUAUAUUGUAAUAAUCUAGUUAAUAGUGUAUCAUGAUCACAAAUGAUGUACAAAAUUUUUAACUUUUAUGUAUACGUAUUAAGUGUCUACACUACUUUUGCUUAUAAAAAUGCAAUUUUUUUCUGAA